rnacentral:rRNA from 1 species
GUCGGCUCAUCGCAUCCUGGGGCUGAAGCAGGUCCCAAGGGUUUGGCUGUUCGCCAAUUAAAGCGGUACGUGAGCUGGGUUCAGAACGUCGCGAGACAGUUCGGUCCCUAUCUGUUGAAGGCGUUAGAAGUUUGAGAGGACCUCCUUUUAGUACGAGAGGACCGAAGGGGACGAACCUCUGGUGUACCUGUUGUGGCGCCAGCCGCAUCGCAGGGUAGCUAUGUUCGGAUGAGAUAAGCGCUGAAAGCAUCUAAGCGCGAAACUCGCCUCAAGAUGAGACUUCUUUUAAGGGUCGUUAAAGAUUAUGACGUUGAUAGGUCGCAAGUGUAAAGGCAGGAAUGUCAAAGCUGAGCGAUACUAAUUACCCGUAGAUUUUUUGCA